rnacentral:SRP_RNA from 1 species
GCUGGGUGUGGUAGUGGGCGCCUGUAAUCCCAGCUACUCGGGAGGCUGAGGCAGGAGAAUCGCUUGAACCCAGGAGGCUGAGGUUCCAGUGAGCCAGGAUGGCACCACUGCACUCCAGCCUGGGCAAUAGAGCAAGACUCUGUCUCCA